rnacentral:lncRNA from 1 species
UCUCAUGUAACUGUCUCAUGCUGUCUCUCAUGUAACUGUCUCAUGUAACUGUCUCAUGCUGUCUCUCGUUACUGUCUCAUGUCACUGUCUCAUGCUGUCUCUCAUGUAACUGUCUCAUGUAACUGUCUCAUGCUGUGUCUCAUGUAACUGUCUCAUGCUGUCUCUCAUGUAACUGUCUCAUGCUGUGUCUCAUGUAACUGUCUCAUGCUGUCUCUCAUGUAACUGUCUCAUGUAACUGUCUCAUGUAACUGUCUCAUGCUGUCUCUCAUGCUGUCUCUCAUGUAACUGUCUCAUGCUGUCUCUCAUGUAACUGUCUCAUGCUGUCUCUUCUAUUCCUUCCAGAGUCCCAGUGGGCAGGACCGGCAGGAACCGGGUCCCUCUGGUAGAGAGCAGCAGGCGGACCGGGGGAAAGAUCAGGACCCUGAGCUGGGGGGUCACAGUGGAGGUCACGGGACUCACCAGGGAGGGCAGUUCCUCCCCACGACUGCAGAACACAACCAGGAGGAGGGGCCAGAGGAGGACACACCCAGCAUCAGCAGUAUGUACCUGCCGGGUAAACUGGGCCAUGUCCUUGGUCUUUGUUUGUCGCAUGAUGAUUUUGAAGUGUAGUACACACACACUCUCCUACCUAAAUCUCCCCAUCCCUGUUUGCCAAAUAGAGGUUCUCCAGUGCUUCCUGGCCACGCGGGAGGCCAUGCAGCUACAGCAGAACGAGACUGUCUACGAGUCUUCCGGGACCUCCACCCUCCCCAGCAGCACAGAGAGCCCCGGUACCCCAGAAAGAGAGCCCCCUAACACGCAGGGCUGGGAGCGGCGGAGGGGGUCUGAAGAGGGCAUGUCAUUCCCUGUAGCCUGCCACCUGGUUGUGUCCCGCUGUGUGUUUCUCCUCUUGGGGGUCCGGCCCGCGUGGCAGGAACAGAGUGAAGAGACAGGGCAGGCGGAGAGCACUGGAGCCAGGAAAUCAACUUCAUCUACAGAUUCUCUACUCAGCCCAAAGGCCGAACAGAGCAGAUUCACCUUGGGCAGUAGAAAACCAUCUGCAGGCCAGUCCAGAAACUCCUUCAAGAAUAGAAUGGGUCUACCACUGUGUUCCCUGGGCAUCAUGAAGGAUGCGUGGGAGCGGCUACGCCAGUGCAUCAGCCCCACCACCAGCUCCAUGUGCCAGGGCGGGGCGGGCAGCUCGUCCAGCGUGCUCAGCCAGGUCUUUCACUUCCUGUGUGGGAGCCUGCUCCGUCCGACCCCACCCUCCUCGUUACUGGAGAGAGAGGCAGGCAGCCAGGCAGACCCCAAGGCCAUCACAUUGGCCAUGUACCAACAACAGCAGAGGGCAGAGGUAAGUAUUUAUAAAACUCGAUACAGUUACACAUCGCAAUAUUAUUUUUGGACGAUAUUAUUAUUGAUAUUU